GCCACCCUAGCUCAGCUGGUAGAGCAGCCGAUUCGUAAUCGGCAGGUCGAGGGUUCGAAUCCCUUGGGUGGCU
rnacentral:tRNA from 1 species